AUGAAAUAAUUUGUAAUUAUUUAGUGGGAAAUAAGCCAGAAUAGGUAUCAGAAAAAAGGGCUAUCCAUCUUUUCCUCUUCUUCUCUUUUCUUUUGUUCCAUCUGUCCUUGUAAAUAAAGUUUUAUUGGAACUUCAGAGUGGAACGGCCACCUUCAUUCUUUUAUAUCCCGUCUAUGGCGGCUUUCAAACUAUAUUGGCAGAGUUGAGGAGCUGUCACAGAGACUUUAUGGCCCUGAAAACCCCAAAUAUUUAAUGCCUGGCUCUUUGCAGGAUGUUUUCCAACACUGAGCUAGAAGACACAUCUCCCAGAACGCCCUUUUCCUCUAAGGUGAUGAAGCCCGUUCAUGUGACACCAGGAACUUUUCCAGGUGUCCUUGUGGACCCAGAGUGCAGUGUUAGCAACAUUUAUUCUCCCCACCUAAAUACAUUUAUCACUUUUUAUGUUUGAUUGUGUAGUGAUGAUUUGGUGGCAAAGCAAGGAAGCAUGUUCUGGAGAAUUUUGUCCUUCAUUUGUAGCACUUCCAGGAAAAUAGCAUCCUCAAGAACUGUUUCCCAGUCUGGUAAAGAAGAGUGUCAUCAAGAAGGGGUUUUGAGGUCCCCAUUAUCAUGCUGAACCCACGUAAACAAGAGAUAAUCCCCUCCAAUAAAAGGAAUUGCUUUCUCACCAGAUGAAUGGCACCCAGGUGGCACUCAACUCCCACGUGACAUUUGGUCCUGAGAGGACCUCUGUCAGGUGGCAUUUCUGAGAGGAGAUGCUUCCCGAGGUCAUGCUCCACUGGCUCUCAGAAACGGAGCUUCCUUUCUGUAGGAAGUAGGACUGGGGAAGAGGUGGGAAGGGCGAGAAUGUGCAAGAAGGAGCGAGAGGACUGGGACGAGAGCUCUGCUGGGUAGUGUCCACUCCUGCUGCUACUCACCCCAGUAUCCCAUGCCCUCCGGGCUGCCCAGCCCCCUCCUCCGGAACCCUGACCGCUGCCCGGUAGAAAAUGCCACCGAACCUGGAUUUUCUGUACCUCUCGACAGACAAUACAAAUUGGUGAUGUGUCACAUUUUCCAAAAUAGAAUAAAUCUCUUUGUGAUGAUUUCUCUGGAACUGAAUGUUCUGUCAAAUACUACAUGAGCUCCUUCAAGUGAGGUGAACGUUAUCCAUCCUUAACUUAGGCCUGUUACCUCUGGGCAAAAUUAUUUUUUAAAGGCCUGCAUAUCACUGAAGAGAAAUGCUUACAAAGAGGUAAAAUUGUGGAAUGUUUUGAUUCGGAGUUCCUGCUGUGGCUCAGCAGUUAACGAACACUACUGGUAUCCAUGAGGACAUAGGUUUGAUCCCUGGCUUUGCUCAGUGGAUUAAGGAUCCAGCGUUGCCGUGAGCUGUGGUGUAGGUUGCAGAUGUGGCUCAGGUCUGGAAUUGCUGUGGCUGUGGCAUAGGCUGGCAACUAUGGCUCCGAUUUGACCCCUAACCUGGCAACUUACAUAUGCCACAGGUGCUGCCCUAAAAGGACAUUGGGUUGUGAUGAUCAUUGUACAAGUAUAAAUACAAUAAAUUCAUUGAGUAAUAAAAAAAAAAAGCUGGGAUUCACUGGUCAUCUCCCUGUUUUACGUGUGAGACCAUAGCAGGUUGGGGACUUUGUCACUGUUACAUUGCUGCUUAGUACAACGCCAAAACUGGGACCCAGAUUUUAGACCCACUGUUCCAUAUUCCUGAGACCUGUGGGGCAAAUACCCUAGCAACCUCUGUCCAGGCCCCUCCCUGUCUAAUCCAAUAGCAUUUUUCUUAGAAAUGUCUUUUCCUUCUACCACAUUCACCCUCUCACACAUUCUAGGAGAUCUAGACAGAGCUAUUGCCAAGAUGAUGCCAUGACGGUUGUAUCAGUUAUCUCUUGCUGUGUAACAAAGCACCCCAAGGGCUGGAACACCUUGUCAUGCUAGCAAGUAGAAGAUUCUGAAAGAAAACAACAACAACAAAAAGAUGUCCAUAAGGACACAGAAGCCAGCUGUUAAGGGGAUUUUUUAUAGAUAGAUCUGGGACAAUUUAAAUAAAAUUAACAGUAUAAUUCAUAACACAGCAUUAAACAAAAGGCAUUCAUGCCUCCAUUCCAAUAAUCUGAUAAAUCAAGUUAGGGAAGGAUCUUGCUUGCUCUGGAUGCUGAAUGGAAGAGGUCUGAGUUGGAAAGUCAGCUUUUGUAACCAUCUUAAUAGUGGAUCGGGCAAAAAAAGAAACAGCUUCAAGAGUUGCUGAACUUAGGGGAAAUUUUUGAUGAAGAACAUGAUAUCUGCUUGGCCUUGUAAUAUCUCCCCACUGACUGCUUUUUAGUUGCAAAGGAAAAAAAAAAAACCAAUAAUUAUGUAGUGGAGUGAUCAGACUCCACCUUGACUCGGGAAUCAGAAUUAAUGUUGCCAGUGAGACCUGUGCCUUCAGAUGUGAUACCAUGAUCUGGGUAUUGUACCACCUAUGUAGUAUUCUGGGUGAGGAUGCUAAUCAUAAGGAAAUAGGAGACAAGCACAAAAUGAUGGGUGGAAAUUUUGUGUUAAAAAAUGAGACCGAGAAGGCUAUAUUUUUUCAAAUAUUUAUAUAUUACAAAAUGCCAAGGAAUGCUGAGGAACUGUUCCAGGUCAAGAGAAAUAACAAAUAAAUCUCAUACCGGACCCUAGACUAGAUCAUGUACUAGAGGGAAAGAAAUGCCAUUAAAAAAAUUAUUGGGUCAUUUGACAAAAUUGGCAUACAGAAUAAGAUCAUGGUAGCAGUAUUAAAUGUACUAAAGUCAAAAUCUCUGCUGUGGUUCUAUAAGAAAAUUGCCCUGUUUUCAUGAAAUACGUGUAUUUAGAAGGAAGUGCAAUGGUAUUUGUCACAUCCUCAAAUGGUUCUAAAAACAUAAUAAUAUGUAAUUUCUAUAUUUAUAGAAAGACAAAAAUAGCCUUCAAAUGAUAACGCAUUGAGAUAAAAGUUAGAUGCAUCUUAUUUUUGCAAUUUUUUUCUAUAAAUUUUAAAUUAUUCCC
rnacentral:lncRNA from 1 species